rnacentral:rRNA from 1 species
CCUACGGGAGGCUGCAGUGAGGAAUAUUGGUCAAUGGGCGCGAGCCUGAACCAGCCAAGUCGCGUGAGGGAGGACGGCCCUACGGGUUGUAAACCUCUUUUGCCGGGGAGCAACGGGCGUCACGUGUGGCGCCACUGAGAGUACCCGGAGAAAAAGCAUCGGCUAACUCCGUGCCAGCAGCCGCGGUAAUACGGAGGAUGCGAGCGUUAUCCGGUUUUCUGGGGUUAAAAGGGUGCGUAGGCGGAUCGUUAAGUCAGUGGUCAAAUUGAGGGGCUCAACCCCUUCCCGCCAUUGAAACUGGCGUUCUUGAGUGGAAGAGAAGUAUGCGGAAUGCGUGGUGUAGCGGUGAAAUGCAUAGAUAUCACGCAGAACCCCGAUUGCGAAGGCAGCAUGCCGGCUUCCGACUGACGCUGAAGCACGAAAGCGUGGGGAUCGAACAGGAUUAGAUACCCUUGUAGUC